AUUGAACGCUGGCGGCAGGCUUAACACAUGCAAGUCGAACGAGUGGCGGACGGGUGUGUAAUGCUUGGGAAUCUGGGUUAUGGCGGGGGAUAACGACGGGAACCUGUAGCUAAUACCGCGUACCCUCGGAUGAGCCCAAGUGGGUUUAGGUAGUUGGUUGGGUAAUGGCCUACCAAGGUGACGAUCUCUAGCUGGUCGGAGAGGAUGACCAGCCACACCGUGACUGAGAGACGGCCCGGACUCCUACGGGAGGCAGAAGUAGGGAAUCUUGCGCAAUGGGGGAAACCCUGACGCAGCCAUGCCGCGUGAAUGAUGAAGGCCUUCGGAUUGUAAAGUUCUUUCGGUAGUGAGGCGUUAAAUAAAGAAGAAGCACCGGCUAACUCCGUGCCAGCAGCCGCGGUAAUAC
rnacentral:rRNA from 1 species